rnacentral:lncRNA from 1 species
CCAUGCUUACAUAUAUGACAAACAAUAAUUAUGACUUCAAUCAAUAACUCUAACAUCAACAUUCAGGCUUUUAAUCACCUAGCUGAUAAAUAACUGAGAAUGUAUUAACUAUUGAAUGCACUAUUGACUCAUCAUCAACAUAAAAAUGAACACUCCCAUCUUAACAAAACAUCCAUGUAGCUGAAGCUUUAAACAGAUCUCCCAAAAUGUAACUUAGAUGCACAAAUACCUUCCUCACACCUCACAAUAAAGUCCAUACUUAGAACACACACCUAUUAUGUACAAAGUUUUUAGCUAACUUCUAAUAUGCUGAAAGCAAAACGGGGAGGGGAAGAAAACAAAAUGAAAUAGACUUAAACAUCAUAAAACCAAUCUCCAGCAAAGCAAAAGAACAUCAACUGAGUGGCAACAACCAACGAACUUAAAACUUCAGGUGUAUUAUUCACAUGACCACAAGGGUUCAGCCUUACAUACCUGGAUACAGCCAAAAACAACAAUAUAACUUCAACAAAAAGAUGGUAAGAUCAGCAGAGUUUAAAACAACAGUAAUUAGCAUCUAACAACCAACUUAAACCAUGUUUUGAACCCAGAAACCAACAAUAUAUUCAAGCUUUUUAAAACCCAGAAAAAUGAGAACCAGCUAAUCAAUGGAACAGUAUUUGAGAUCUUUUUUUUGUGUUUUUUUUUCUAAUUCUGAAACUAUAUCAGUGUGUGUGUAUUUUUCAGUGUACUAGGUGCAGAGAAUAAUGCUGAAAAGUCUGUCUAGAGUGAAGGAAAGGGCCCUAUUUAUCUCCAAAAUUUGUUGCGUGCCUUCCAAGUCAAGGAAUGAAUUUUUUUCCAAAAUACCCCUCACAAAGCAUCUUUUCUAAUAGCAAGCAGAUAACUGGCCAUUUCUAAUUAGCUUCAACAACUUGUACUGGUAGAAUAGCACCAUCUGUCCAUGCCACAGAACAUUCUAGAUACCUUAUCCCAUUUCUAAACUCCCAAAUUAACCCCCUUAAGUUUUUUUACUUACAAAUGAACCCCUACAAAUCCCUAAGAAUUGAAAAAUAUGGCCAACAGAAACAAUCAACACAAAUGACAACAAACGGAUCAAAACCAAGAUUGAACAUCUAAAAAAUUAGAAAAAUAAUAAUCUUAAGACCUCCAAACUUGAAUUUGACUAAAACUAAAUUAGUCAAAACAAAUUAACAAAUUAGGAGAAUUCAAGAUGCCUAAAACUAAUAUUAAUGAAUUAUAUUAUUUAUUAUAUACCUAUUUCAAAAUUAGAUUAACCAACAGGUCCAAAUAAAAUAAGCAAUGAUAACUAAAACUAAAGAGAAGCUUGACAUGCACUAGAGAACUAGGUUGGUUGACAUGAAAAAAAACAAAUAAAACCCUAACGGCCCAAAGAAUAUGACCUCCUGAACUACUUAGUUUAGUCAUUGAAAUGACGAACUAGGAAACAAGAUGAACAAAACAAACAGAAAAAGAAAAAGAAGAAGAUAAACAAGAGAAUGAUAACAUAAGAGAAGAAAAGAAAAAAAAAAGACAGGAGGAAUGUACCUAUAUCGGAACGUGAAUCAAAUGGCUUAAAGGGAACUGGACGCCUCUGAUUUAAGUCGUAAUAGGUGUUAGGCGACUGUUCUCGUCGGGAACAGACGGAUAACACCCAUUUUCUAGCUUAAAUCUUCUUUGGAAAAAAAACCAAUUUGUGACCUAGGCUUAGCAUGCUCUCAGAUCCGAAAUUGAAGCAAUUUGGGGAAGAAUCGAAAGGAUUGGCUUGGUAAUUUAUAAAGAAGAGGAGGUGAGGAAUGUUUGGUGUAAUUUUGGAGUGAUUUAGGGGUGUUUAUGGAGUUGCCACCGACAGAGGGUUUCAAGGCGGCAGUCUCUAAGGUUUUGAGAGACGGGGAGGUGAGGAGAUGGAAUG